rnacentral:rRNA from 1 species
CCGCACAAGCGGUGGAGCAUGUGGUUUAAUUCGAAGCAACGCGAAGAACCUUACCAGGUCUUGACAUCCCUGACAACCAAGAGAUUGGCGUCCCUUCGGGGACAGGGUGACAGGUGGUGCAUGGUUGUCGUCAGCUCGUGUCGUGAGAUGUUGGGUUAAGUCCCGCAACGAGCGCAACCCUCGCCUCUAGUUGCCAGCAUUCGGUUGGGCACUCUAGAGGGACUGCCGGCGACAAGUCGGAGGAAGGUGGGAUGACGUCAAAUCAUCAUGCCCUUAUGACCUGGGCUACACACGUGCUACAAUGGGCGGUACAAAGGGCUGCGAACCCGCGAGGGGGAGCGAAUCCCAAAAAGCCGCUCUCAGUUCGGAUUGCAGGCUGCAACUCGCCUGCAUGAAGUCGGAAUCGCUAGUAAUCGCAGGUCAGCAUACUGCGGUCGAAUACGUUCCCGGGCCUU